rnacentral:tRNA from 2 species
GUGGGUGUGGCUCAGUGGUAGAGCAUUGUGCAAAGCCCUGGGUUCAAUCCCCAGCACCAAAA